rnacentral:rRNA from 1 species
AUUGAACGCUGGCGGCAGGCCUAACACAUGCAAGUCGAACGAGUGGCGGACGGGUGAGUAAUGUCUGGGACACUGCCUGAUGGAGGGGGAUAACUACUGGAAACGGUGGCUAAUACCGCAUACCAUCGGAUGUGCCCAGAUGGGAUUAGCUAGUAGGUGGGUGAAAGGCUCACCUAGGCGACGAUCUCUAGCUGGUCUGAGAGGAUGACCAGCCAAACUGGAACUGAGACACGGCCCAGACGCCUACGGGAGGCAGCAGGGGGGAAUAUUGCACAAUGGGCGCAAGCCUGAUGCAGCCAUGCCGCGUGGAUGAAGAAGGCCUUAGGGUUGUAAAGUACGUUCAGCGGGGAGGCGUUACCCGCAGAAGAAGCACCGGCUAACUCCGUGCCAGCAGCCGCGGUAAUUC